rnacentral:rRNA from 1 species
UACGUAGGGUGCGAGCGUUAAUCGGAAUUACUGGGCGUAAAGCGUGCGCAGGCGGUUUCACAAGCUCGAUGUGAAAGCCCCGGGCUUAACCUGGGAAUGGCAUUGAGGACUGUGGAGCUCGAGUGCGGCAGAGGGAGGUGGAAUUCCACGUGUAGCAGUGAAAUGCGUAGAGAUGUGGAGGAACACCGAUGGCGAAGGCAGCCUCCUGGGCCGACACUGACGCUCAUGCACGAAAGCGUGGGGAGCAAACAGGA